CUACGGGAGGCACCAGUGGGGGAUAUUGCACAAUGGGCGAAAGCCUGAUGCAGCAACGCCGCGUGAAGGAUGACGGAUUUCGGUCUGUAAACUUCUAUCAGCAGGGAAGAAAAUGACGGUACCUGACUAAGAAGCCCCGGCUAACUACGUGCCAGCAGCCGCGGUAAUACGUAGGGGGCAAGCGUUAUCCGGAAUUACUGGGUGUAAAGGGUACGUAGGCGGCUGAUCAAGUCAGAUGUGAAAGCCCGGAGCUCAACUCCGGGAUUGCAUUUGAAACUGGUCGGCUAGAGUGCAGGAGAGGAAAGUGGAAUUCCUAGUGUAGCGGUGAAAUGCGUAGAUAUUAGGAAGAACACCAGUGGCGAAGGCGGCUUUCUGGACUGUAACUGACGCUGAGGUACGAAAGCGUGGGGAGCGAACAGGAUUAGAUACCCCCGUAGUC
rnacentral:rRNA from 1 species